UACGGAAAUUUCCCUGUCAGGUCGCCACAAUUCAAAGGACACCUCGCCACCAUUCAAAGGACUCCUCGUGCAUGCAGAGAAUGGGAACCGCACCCCGGGUCUCCACAGACACCAUGGUGCCGUCUGCCACUCCCUUCUCAAAGCAAGGACCUGCCUCCACCCACCUCUUUGCUGCUGAGGACUUGCCGAGAGAAGGCCUGGAGUGCCCCUGCCUGCUCUGGACAGUCAACCUAACAAGAGCCUCAGCUCCAGGGACACAGGAGGCCCGGCUGUGGACAGCAGGUGGCAGGCAGAGCAGUGAAUGCGGAAGGGGAGGGAUGGGCUUCAGCCUGGCGGAACCUGGUGUCAUUCCAGACCUCACUGCUGGGUCUGCUCUGUUUUCUGCCCCCUCAUCCUGGCUUUGUUUGCUCACUAGAGGCAGCACAUCUGGUGAUUUAGCAUGUGGAAACUCAGAAGCCAAUGUAUAGCACUGGCUGAUAACACUGAUGUACAGAUGAAACCUGCUGAGAAGUUAAACGUUUCCUUCAAAAGCAAAAGCAAAGGGCAAGUGUGUGAGGCCAUGGAUGAGCCAGUUAACACGAGUCCUUUCACCGCGUGCUCAUACAUCAGAGCCUCACACGGGGUCUUUAAAUAUCUUACCAUUUUGUCAGUUGUACCGCAUCAAAGCCGGGGUGGGGGGAGGAGUGUGGUUGAAGUUUAAAUUCUGUUAACUAUUGUGUAGACUCAGCUUCCUUAUCUGUACAAUGGGCUGUCUGGGGGAUUUCAGGAUUAUACAUGUAAUGUCACCAGAGCAGUGCCUGGCACUUGCAGAAGGCUCAGUAACAGGCUUCAUAAAGCCAACCACUUUGCAUGUGGUAGAGUGCCACGGUUAGGAAGGUCAGACAUCCUGCUUCAAAUCCUAGAGCUGCCAUUUAGUGGCUCUGACCUUGGGCACAAGGCCUUAACCCCUACGAGUAGCAGUUCCCUCUUGGGGAUAAAAUGGAUGAGUAACAAUACCUACAACACAGGGUCAUUGUGAGACUUAAAAGAGCUGAUAGUCGGAAAGCACCUGGCACUUAUGAGCAUUUGAUUGCAUUUUAGUUAUCAUUUUAAUUCUAUUUAAUUCAGCGUAACCUGCGUGAAGACGGAGCUUCCUGUUGACUCACUCACUGCUGUAUUUCCAGUACCCAGGACAAUGUCCAGGCCACACUGAGCUGGGCUUAGUACAUAGACUGAGUGUCUACUCUGUUCACACUGCUUUUUCUCUGUGAAAUGCUCUGACCACAGACUCCUGACUCUUUCUACGACACUUUUUGACACUUUUUGAUCAUACAGGAUAUGAUGCUCUAUUAUCGUGAUACUAUCACGACUUUCCAAUCCGACCUGUGAUGUGAACGUUGGGGAUUAACUGUGACGGUGGAUCAAAGCCGAUAAGCUGCAGCUGGCAGAGACACCACCGCAAACAAGCCUGUGCUUCAGGAAUCGCUGGGUCCAGGAGCACAAAAGAAAUAAUAAUUGGGGGGGUCUCUCUGGUAGCACAAUGGGUUAAA